ensembl:lncRNA
GGACUAGUGUUCUCCAGACCACCAUCGAUGGUUUGCUGACGUGCUGUUGACUACAGUUUGGAGCUCACUGCUUCCUGUUGCUUCCCAAUACAGGUGCCAGAGGGAUGGAUUCGGGGUUCUUCGGAGCUUUUAGAAAUAAAAACUGAUCGUUUUUAUUACCAUUUUCAGAGAGGAUUUCUCUUGCAGAGUGGUGUUAGAUCUUUCAAUAGAAAUCAUGAAUUAAUCCUGAGGAAGGCCCAGGUGGUCCCUUGCUGCAUGGCUGGGGAGGUGGCACCUCGGAGUGCUCCCUGCUCUUGCCUGGCACAUGCCAUCGUUGUGGUGGUGGGCCUGCAUGCAGCAAAGUUGCUGCAUUGGACCAUAUGGCUGGAUCGAUAUAUACUCUUGAUGGACAGAGAUCAGGCAUCCGCAUUGGUUUUGUAAGUCAGUGGACUUUGGUAGCCUUGCCUGUGUGGUGGUGUUGCUGAUCUAUAAGAAGAAAGAGUAAAGAACCUGUCCCUUUCUUUCCAAAAGCUGUCUGCGCCUCUCUGUUACGAAUCCAUGUUACCCAUUACCAGAGACCCUGGGACACUGUGAAGUGUAUUGAGCUAUGGAGCCACCAGCAUGUUUGCAGAAUGCUGGUUGUGACUUCUCCUUAAAUUGAGUUUCAUCGUUUUGUGCUUCCUGUUUGCCUGAGCAGCUCGAGACAAGCAGCUGCAAGCUCCAUCUGGAGAGGAUGGAGAUGAUCUUAUAGGCAAAAGGAAAAUAGCGCUAAGCAGACAGUGGGGUGGUUUGACUCCUGUUUUUAUGAGGAGCCUGUGUUCUUUAAUGUGGCUCUUUGGUCUAAUGAAAUCCCACACAUCUCAACUACUCCUAGAACUUUGCUGUGAAAAGCCAACCUCAGUGCUCCGUGCUUUCCUGGCUCCUCGGUCGUUCUGUCAUAGCACGUCUGUGUUAUGUCCCCAGCUCUUGGGUCCCUUCCUGAUGGGGAGCUCCUGGCGUUAUCCUGCAUGUUGCCCAGCAGCAGGGCUGCAGGCAAGAGCAGUAGCUGAGGUUGUAGGUGCCCCUCUGCUGUAAAGCCUGUUGAUAUGGGAGAUGGCUCUUUGGCACUUGGAGAGGAAGAGGAGUUGCAUCAUGUGCUGAUGGAUCAGCAGGUGCCCAGUCACUCUGCUGCCUCACUGGUAGGCCUAGACGGACAAACAGCUUUGUGCUGGCUGUGCUGAAGGCUGGAGGAGAUGUUUUCUGUGUCAUCUGCUGUGCAGGCUUGCAUUAGAUGAUAUGGGACAAGGCAGUUCCACUGGCUUGGUGGAGGAGCAUGGCCAAAGCAUGUUAUGGCUGUGCUGUGCAAAGGGUGAUGCCUUCUCCUCUGCUCUAGUGACAGUGCUGGUCACGCUCUGUGAAUCUGUGCAUGAUGCAGGAGCUGCCGGCUCCAGGGACACCUUCUGCUCCUCAGUCCCUCUGCUGCAAUUGCAUGCACAAGGGCCAGUUUGCUGACAGGUUGCGGAUGUAAACUACUGAGGGUUGGAGCUGGUCAUGUUUAACAACAGGUCUGCAUGGAUCUUGUCUGUUACGGGAGUGUUGCAGGAUCCCAGAAUCCCAGACUGGUUUGGGUUGGAAGGGACCUUACUGCUCAACCAGUUCCAACCCCCUGCCACGAGCAGGGACACCUUCCACUAGAGCAGGUUGCUCCAAGCCCCUGUGUCCAACCCGGCCUUGAACACUGCCAGGGAUGGGGCAGCCACAGCUUCUCUGGGCACCCUGUGCCAGCGCCUCAGCACCCUCACAGGGAAGAACUGCUGCCUAAGAGCUCAUCUCAGUCUCCCCUCUGACAGGACAAGGGGGAAUGGCUUUAACCUGCCAGAGGGGAGACUGAGAUGAGCUCUUAGGCAGAAGCUCUUCCCUGUGAGGGUGCUGAGGCGCUGGCACAGGGUGCCCAGAGAAGCUGUGGCUGCCCCAUCCCUGGCAGUGUUCAAGGCCGGGUUGGACACAGGGGCUUGGAGCAACCUGCUCUAGUGGAAGGUGUCCCUGCUCGUGGCAGGGGGUUGGAGCUGGAUGAGCUCUAAAUGCCUUCCAACCCAAACCAGUCUGUGACUCUAUGAUAUAAAAGUGUGCUGUAGCAGCACUAGGGUGCUUUUUUUGUGAUAUAGGUGAAAUCAACUGGAUUUUUCAUAGUAACCAUUUUAUGCAUCUUAACUGUGGCUGGGAACACUGUCAUAUGGGUGUAUAUUAGAAAAUCUUACACUUGCUGAGCAAUAUGGAUAAUAAUUCCUUUCUAGAUCUUUAUUUGAAAAAACUGAGCCUGUGCCCAAUCUAUUUUAGGGCAUUAUACACAAUCUAUUUUAGGAUGUUACCUAGCUGUUUGUUACAUCUAAAUACCAUCCAUGUGGAAUAUAUUGGCAAUAACAAAGUGUUUAGCAAAUUUCACAAAGUCUGUCAUGUGGACUUGUUCCUGAGGGGUUUUUCCCCAACUCCAUGUAAUGACUGAGUAGCUCAACCCCUCCUGAAGAAUACUCUCUGAGGGACAGUGCUGUCCCUGUGACCGUGAUCUCUGGUAGUGUAGUGGGGUCAGACUGCAGCAUCUCCUGCUUUGCUUGGGUGCUUGGUGCUCUCCAGACCUGGGAUCCCAGCCCAGGGUGCGUCCUGCCUGGUGAGGGAUGGUUUUCCUCUGGUCUCAGAGAGCACAAACCCCUCCUGUCGAGCUCUCCUGGCCCUUGGGUAGAGUUGGCUGACAAUGUGUGAAGGAUACCCAGCCAGCAGUCCAUGGAGGAGUUCCUCUCUUUGAUUCCUCCCAGGCACAUCCCCAAGGAAUGAUGGGCGACAGACACUUCUCCAGAUGAGGCUAUGGCUCAGUAAUGUCUUUACAGACCUGAGCAGAUGUGAGGACACCAAGUUGCACUGUGGUGUUCAUGUGCUUACAGUCGCACAGCUAACUGGCGCAGGCCUCUAAUGGGAUAAUCCACAAUUUUUAGUAUCUUAUCAAUUAGUUUUAGCAAGUGGUUGAGAAAAGCAGAAAGUUAAGCAAUAGUAUAUUUUGAUCAAAAAAAAAAAAAA